UACGUAGGUGGCAAGCGUUGUCCGGAUUUACUGGGCGUAAAGAGCGCGCAGGCGGUCGUUCAAGUCGCGUGUGAAAGCCCCCGGCUCAACUGGGGAGGGUCACGCGAUACUGAUCGACUCGAAGGCAGGAGAGGGAAGUGGAAUUCCCGGUGUAGUGGUGAAAUGCGUAGAUAUCUGGAGGAACACCGGUGGCGAAGGCGGCAUCCUGGACCAACACUGACACUGAGGAGCGAAAGCCAGGGGAGCAAACAGG
rnacentral:rRNA from 1 species